GCCCCUUCCAAGGCGCCAUCCGCGCCACCUGCCGCCCCGGCCCGGCCGCGGAAGGCGCGGUGCCGCCCAGCGCGGCCGAGGCGGGAACAGCGCCGCCCCCGGCAGGACCCGGGGGGGCGGCGAGGGGAGGCGGCCCUGGGGCGGCAUCGGGACCCGCCGAAGCGCCAGGCGGGCCGGGCCGGGCCGCGGGAGGCUCAGUUCACCGACCUCAAACUGUGUGCGUGUUUGAAGGGAAGCUGUGGAAAACUGGUGCAGGACGAGAGCUCCACUGAAGUCGGUGUACGUGUGGGCGGGAGGGUGCCUGAGAUGGCAGCUGGGCUUCGGCGGCGCCUCCACCAGGCGGGACCGACCCCAGCCGGGCACAGGAGGGACAAGGCCCUUACCCUGGGCCUCCCUCGCGGUGGGAGUGCAUCACAAGUGGACACACAGGAAGAUCCUUGCAUGUAGGGCCAGCAAACCACACAAAUACGCUUUCACUGAUGGCCGUUUGUCUGCUUUCACUGCAUUUGAGAGAUCUUGCAUUUUUGUAGAGUAAUGAGAUGAAAUAUCAUAUUAAAUCCUGUAGAAGUGAUCCAUGCAAAUUUGUCUACCAGCAUGUAUUCAUCACCGUGAUCUAUCCACAUUUAAUAACGUGGAAAAAGUGCUGAUGACUGCAGAAUAGUUAAUAAAUGGAUGAAAAAUAAUAGUCUGGUUUAAGAUAUUCCCUGAGCAGAUAAAGCAGCUAAAUUUGUCUGAUUCAUUAUUUUUUUUGCAAAUAAUGUGCUCAGCACUAAUUAGACAUACUAGAGUAACAUGCUACUGGGGUAAGGGAUGUAUUACUAUGAGACUGUCACAAUCCCUUCCAGCUAUAGAUAGAUAUAUGAAUAUAAACAUACAAGACUUGACCUAAUAAGACUUGGAUGCUGUUAAUAUUUCACUUGUGUCUUUUCCCGGGCGAGUACAAUCCACUGAAAUCAAAAGUGCAGCACCAGUACCUAAAGCUAAGCUAGGAAGUUUUACAGGUGUCAAUGCCAGGUGCCACACAGCAGGACAAGCAUGAGAGCGCAACACUGUGGACUGUCAUUACAAAAAGAAAUCCUAUUUAUCACAGGGAAAAAAAAUCAAUCCUUACUAUAAAUAACUGUUCAACAUUACAUAAUGUUUGAAUUCCAAUAACAAUCAAAAGUCCAAAUAAAGUGCCAGGCCCCAGUGAGAAA